CCUGAAUUUACCUGCCAGCUCUCCACCGCUCCUUCACGGAACUACUUGAUUAUUAUCUGCCCAGAACCUGGAACUUGGACUCACAAAGAGAUAAAGGAACCCGAACCCACGGACUACUCCUCCCGGACCGAAUAUUCUCACCCAUACAAAGCUUCGACUGCUCCAAGAGACUUUCCCCCUCUACCCAGACCGAUCCCAGCAGAUUACUCUCUCUGCCUGUUAUUAGCGACACAGGAUGACCUAACCCACUCGACAUACACUUGUCAAGCAGCUGCAGCCAAACUCAUCUCAUUACCGUAGCACCACUUGAUGUGUGCGGCACAGCAGGUAUGGUGAAACAGGACUCCAGGUGAGCCUGACAUCUGUCAAACAUCUGUUUGACUGACCCGGUGCUACAUGACGUCCGCUGUGAUCUAAUGCAGCUCUGCAAAUCCAGCAGAGGAGAAAACCGCUUAAUGUUGUGAGCUCUGCAUGUUUUAAAGGAAUCCUUUUUUAAAGUGGCAGUAUUAUGUAUUGUUAUGUUACCUUCAUUUGUUAUAAAACUGCUCUAUGUAUCAAAUAUGACUUAAAAGAAAUUCAACUUUGUAAUUUGACACCUUGAAAUUGAGAAUCUGCAAAUCUCCAGGGAUUGUUGGAUGGCAAACAACCAGGGAGGGAGAGAGGGAGGAUGGAUGGAUGGAUGGAUGGAUGGAUGGAUGGAUGGAUACUGUCUACCAAACAGGUCACCAUCUGCAUGAUUGACUUCGUUUGACCUUUGUUUGGCCUUGCAGCUGCUCUGUCCCGCCUGCAGCCAGAGCAGGCUCCUGUAUGGAACAGAGGACUUCCAUACAGACGCGGUAAGUUUUAUAUGAUCAUCUCUUUUGUAUGCAUGUUAACAUCCAGUCAGGCAGCAUCGUCCUCCUGAAAAAGCUGGGCAUAUUCCAAUCAGCUCUGUGUUCAGCUUUGACGAUCCCCAAAGCUACUUCAAGCACCAUCAUUAUACAGUCACAAGCAACCAGUGGGGUUGCAGAGAAAGAGGAGCAAGCAGCACGACACUGCUGGUAACAGAGAUGUGCUCUGGUUGCCCCAAAUGUUGGUUCUCCAGCUAGCUGCAGAACUGCUCCAUGAAUAGUUUCACUUUUCAGGACUUCUAGGUCCUUCUGGUUUAGUUAUGUUUGUGAAGUUUAUAGGCAACGCUUGUGUGACAUUGCCAAGGGCAGCUUUUAAAUAGAAAACACCCCAGUACAUGCAUGCCCUGCUAACAGUGUAAUUCAGGUCUGUCCUUUCAUUCAGAACAUAUGAAGGAGGUUGCUUUACAUAGAUAUAUUGCCAAACUGCAAAGGUAAAUGAUAAAAGGCUCUGCAGAGGGAAGCUGCUGAAAAUAGACUUGAUGCACUUAAAAGUGAAGAUGUACUGUAACUUAUAUAGAAAAUGUUUUUGAUAUUUGUUAAAAUUAUCAUCAUGUCUUUGCUUUGUCUUCUUCUAGGAAUAACUGCAGAAACAACCAAUCAGAGCCUGGAGGAGGGUCUUAGCGCUGUCAAUCAAUCUCCUUUACGCACUGUUCACCCCUUGCUCUCUGUUACGCUACAGCUAGUUCAUCAUAACAUAGCCUGCCAUGAAUGCUAACGCUAUUUAGCAUGGCCACCGAUGACAGCGGAUACAGUUUCCUGAACCAGUAAGUUGUUUCCCACUGGCCCAUUGAGCAUGAUUGACAGCACUAAGCCCCUUUUCCUGGCUCUGAUUGGAGGAGAUAGAUUUUUUGCAGAUUUCAUACUAUACUGUCACACAUAUUGACAGUUUUAACAAAUAUGGAAAAAUAUUUUUGUAAAAGUUACAGUGCAACUUUAAGUAGUAAUGCGAAAGGCAAAGAACAACUUUGAGAUGCAGAGAGAAAUGUAAAUUUCAAUCAAAACAAUCCCAUCUUUAAGCAAACGCAGAGAUGGUAGUGAACAUCAGACUAUUAAGCCCCCAUGAGUUCAGCACAGUAACGUCUCUGACAGUGAUGUCAGUACUUAGUAACGCGUUACUGACGUCGGACCACUUUUUUCAGUAAAGCGUAAUCUAACGAGUUGCUAUUUCAAAUCUAGUAGUCAGACUACAGUUACUUAUUGAAAUCAGUCUGCGUUACUGUGCGUUACUAUUUUCU